GACAACCCACUCCAGUAUUCUUGCCUGGUGAAUCCUGUGGACAAAAGAGCCUGGCAGGCUACAGACCAUGGGCUCACAAAGAGUCAAACGUGACUGAGUGACUUUCACUUCACUUCACUUCAUCUCCCAUGGAGUGGGUCUGGCCAUUCUGACUCUCUCAGAUGACGCCUGGCUGCAUGCAAGAAACAGUUUAAAUCUCUGAAAGAUGAGCUGUACCCCUAGGAGGAUGUUUUCCCCUAAAGGAUGGAAAGACCGAGGUGGAGUAUGUUCACCAUUUUGAAGAGAGCUGCUUGGACUUCAAUAUCAAGAGGACAGGAAGCCACGUUCAAGGUUCCAUAUCAAAGCAUAUAGAAACCAAGAGCAAUGAAAGACCGAGUUUGACACUUGAAAAAGUUGUUUAGGACCUUGGAUAUUUGAGUAAAUUGCAAACAAAAUAUUCAAGAUAAAUUAGCUGUUCGUUUCAAACUAAACUGUGAUUGAGAUUUGCCAAGAUAUCCAGUUUACCUCUUUGCAUUGUCAUAUAUUGUUUAAUGCUAGGACUCUUUACUGUUAAUGCUUAAGUGUUAAUAUUAAUUACUCAUGUUUUUAUUUUAAAGGCAUAAGUUAGUUGAAAA